rnacentral:rRNA from 1 species
AGCAGCCGCGGUAAUUCCAGCUCCAAUAGCGUAUAUUAAAGUUGUUGCAGUUAAAAAGCUCGUAGUUGAAUUUCGGGGUUAGUAGAUUGGUCAUGCCUCUGGUAUGCACUGGUCUUACUGAUUCCUCCUUCCUGAUGAACCGUAAUGCCAUUAAUUUGGUGUUGCGGGGAAACUGGACUGUUACUUUGAAAAAAUUGAGUGUUUAAAGCAGGCUAACGCUUGAAUACAUUAGCAUGGAAUAAUGAAAUAGGACGUUCGAUCUUAUUUUGUUGGUUUCUAGGAUUGACGUAAUGAUUAAUAGGGAUAGUUGGGGGCAUUAGUAUUCAAUUGUCAGAGGUGAAAAUUCUUGGAUUUAUUGAAGACUAACUACUGCGAAAGCAUUUGCCAAGGAUGUUUUCAUUAAUCAAGAACGAAGUUAGGGAUCGAAGACGAUCAGAUACCGUCGUAGUCUUAACCAUAAACUAUGACCGACUAGGGAUCGGAUGAUGUAAUUUUUUAAUGUACUCAUUCGGCGCCUUAC